UUGAUUGCGCGUACAGCUCUCCAUUUCUAAGCUGUGCGCAGCAUUAACAAGGAGGAAAUGUGUAUCCCCAGGCUCGGGGUGCGGCAGUGUGGAGACCUGUCGUAAAAGCGGCGCGGCGUCAUGCCGGCCGUGAGUCCGUCCAGGCGAAGGCCGGGCGGACGGAGCCGGAAGUAUGGCA
rnacentral:ncRNA from 1 species